rnacentral:rRNA from 1 species
UGGCGGACGGGUGAGUAACGCGUGAGUAACCUGCCUUACACAAGGGGAUAGCCGUUGGAAACGACGAAUAAUACCCUAUAACAUUAACCAAUCGCAUGAUAGGUUAAUCAAAGAUUUAUCGGUGUAAGAUGGACUCGCGUCUGAUUAGCUAGUUGGUGGGGUAACAGCCUACCAAGGCAACGAUCAGUAGCCGGCUUGAGAGAGUGUACGGCCACAUUGGGACUGAGACACGGCCCAGACUCCUACGGGAGGCAGCAGCC